rnacentral:rRNA from 1 species
UACGGAGGGAGCUAGCGUUGUUCGGAAUUACUGGGCGUAAAGCGCACGUAGGCGGCUCAGUAAGUCAGGGGUGAAAUCCCGGGGCUCAACCCCGGGACUGCCCUUGAAACUGCUAAGCUAGAAUCUUGGAGAGGCGAGUGGAAUUCCGAGUGUAGAGGUGAAAUUCGUAGAUAUUCGGAAGAACACCAGUGGCGAAGGCGACUCGCUGGACAAGUAUUGACGCUGAGGUGCGAAAGCGUGGGGAGCAAACAGG